rnacentral:rRNA from 1 species
GACGAACGCUGGCGGCGUGCUUAACACAUGCAAGUCGAACGAAGAGGCCCAGCUUGUGAGGGGGACUCGUGGGGAACGGGGGUGUAAUACACGAGUAAAACACCUCCAAGUCUGGGGUAAAACCGGAGGAAACUGGGGAAUACCGGGGACAACCAAUCCUCCCGCGGGGUGGUGGUGGGAAGGGUUCGGUGGUGGGGGAUGGGCUCGCGACUUAUCAGCUUGUUGGUGGGGUAGUGGCUCACCAAGGCUUCGACGGGUAGCCGGCCUGAGAGGGUGACCGGCCACACUGGGACUGAGACACGGCCCAGACUCCUACGGGAGGCAGCAGUGGGGAAUAUUGCACAAUGGGCGGAAGCCUGAUGCAGCGACGCCGCGUGCGGGAUGACGGCCUUCGGGUUGUAAACCUCUGUUGGCAGGGACGAAGAGAGAUUGACGGUACCGGCUAAGAAAGCGCCGGCUAACUACGUG